rnacentral:rRNA from 1 species
UACGAAGGGGGGCUAGCGUUGCUCGGAAUGACUGGGCGUAAAGGGCGCGUAGGCGGAUGGCACAGUCAGAUGUGAAAUUCCCGGGCUUAACCUGGGGGCUGCAUUUGAUACGUGUUGUCUUGAGUUCGGAAGAGGGUCGUGGAAUUCCCAGUGUAGAGGUGAAAUUCGUAGAUAUUGGGAAGAACACCGGUGGCGAAGGCGGCGACCUGGUCCGACACUGACGCUGAGGCGCGAAAGCGUGGGGAGCAAACAGG